UACGAAGGGGGCUAGCGUUGCUCGGAAUUACUGGGCGUAAAGGGAGCGUAGGCGGCUAGUUUAGUCAGAGGUGAAAGCCCAGGGCUCAACCUUGGAACUGCCUUUGAUACUGGCUAUCUUGAGUGUGGGAGAGGUGAGUGGAACUCCGAGUGUAGAGGUGAAAUUCGUAGAUAUUCGGAAGAACACCAGUGGCGAAGGCGACUCACUGGCCCAUUACUGACGCUGAGGCUCGAAAGCGUGGGGAGCAAACAGG
rnacentral:rRNA from 1 species